UACAGAGGGGGCAAGCGUUAUUCGGAAUUAUUGGGCGUAAAGGGCGCGUAGGCGGCCUGGCAAGUGGAAGGUGAAAUCCCUCGGCUUAACCGAGGAACUGCCCUCCAAACUGCUUGGCUUGAGUCCGGGAGAGGUGAGUGGAAUUCCCAGUGUAGCGGUGAAAUGCGUAGAUAUUGGGAGGAACACCAGUGGCGAAGGCGGCUCACUGGACCGGAACUGACGCUGAGGUGCGAAAGCGUGGGGAGCAAACAGG
rnacentral:rRNA from 1 species